UGGCAUUAUCUUGUAUAUAAAUAUCAACUUCAGGAUUUAUUUCAUAUUUGUACUUUUUUUUUAACGUCUGGAUUUAUUAUUUAUUGCAAAUUAUUAGAACUGUUACAUAGGCGAUUCUACAACGGACAAUUCCUUCCGACCCUUAUUAGAUUCACGACAGACGACACCUUCUUCACCUUCUUCUUUAUACUCACCUCCUUCACCUCCUUCUUUAUGCUCUUGAUGGACACUUCUCUCUGCGUAAUAAAUCGUAGUAUCUGGGACUCGAACCCUAGACCUCUGGGUGUAGAAGCAUUAAUUAACCUGUGUUCAACCAAUGGGCCAAGG
rnacentral:lncRNA from 1 species